rnacentral:rRNA from 1 species
AAGGUAGCGAAAUUCCUUGUCGGGUAAGUUCCGACCUGCACGAAUGGCGUAACGAUGGCGGCGCUGUCUCCACCCGAGACUCAGUGAAAUUGAAAUCGCUGUGAAGAUGCAGUGUAUCCGCGGCUAGACGGAAAGACCCCGUGAACCUUUACUAUAGCUUUGCACUGGACUUUGAAUUUGCUUGUGUAGGAUAGGUGGGAGGCUUUGAAGCGUGGACGCCAGUCUGCGUGGAGCCAUCCUUGAAAUACCACCCUGGCAACUUUGAGGUUCUAACUCAGGUCCGUUAUCCGGAUCGAGGACAGUGUAUGGUGGGUAGUUUGACUGGGGCGGUCUCCUCCUAAAGAGUAACGGAGGAGUACGAAGGUGCGCUCAGACCGGUCGGAAAUCGGUCGUAGAGUAUAAAGGCAAAAGCGCGCUUGACUGCGAGACAGACACGUCGAGCAGGUACGAAAGUAGGUCUUAGUGAUCCGGUGGUUCUGUAUGGAAGGGCCAUCGCUCAACGGAUAAAAGGUACUCCGGGGAUAACAGGCUGAUA